UCUACUUAAUUUGACUAAUGAAAUGGCCUUUGAUAGGGCCGCGUGGAGAAGAAGGAUUCAUGUAGCCGACCCCAUUUGAUGGGACUUAAGGCUUCGUUUGGUUUGGUUUGGUUUGUUAGUUACCAUAGUUACUAAGCAAUUAAUUCACAUUCUCACAAUUUUUUUAGGUAUUUAACAUGAGUGUGAACAUUCUAUUCCAAUAGAAUGUAGAACAAUUAGAUGGAUCUGCCCAAUAUGAUAUUGAAAAGCUACAUUAAUAAUACUCAUCCCUUUUAGCAUCCCCUCCUUUCUUUUGGGGGGGCUCCUUUCUUUUUUUUUCGCCCGGGGGGGUAAAGCUAAAAUGAAUGACUACCUAUGGCAAGGUCCUCCACAUGAACGAACAGUCAUUUGUUCCUUUUCAGACAUGCUGUUGUAGUAUAGACACUCAAAAACAUGGACCAUGGAACCACAGUGACAUGAUCGUCUUAUCAGCACUUUGCAAGGAGGACAUUCACCAAGAUGACAUGGCCGGGGGCACGGAUGUGGACAUGCAGGCUGUCUCUCCUGAAUGAAGGCAAUGGAAAAAUAAAGCAAUGUAAGAAUUUCAAGUGUAUGGUGUUGCUGAAACGAAUUCGAUGCUAUAGGAUAGAAAUA